rnacentral:lncRNA from 1 species
CUUUGCCAAGGCACCUUCUGAUUGGUUUAAUAAAAGACAUAACUGGCCAAUAGCUAGGCAGGGAGAGGUUAGGCAGGAGAGCCAAACUGAGAGGAAGCUGGGAAAGAAGACAGACGGAGUCACAGGAGAUGAAAAUGCCCUGCUGAAAAAGUUAAACUGGAGAAUCCCCUGUGACUUCAGAAGCACCUUUAAAGUAAUGGAAAUUACAAUGUACUCUGGAGAGAGUUAUGAGGAUUUAAUUAAAGUCAGCUUGUCCUACUUUCCAUAGUUUCUCCAGAGCUGAGAAGAGAUGGGGAAGAAGGAUCUGUUUCAGCUCAUGAUGGAGAAGGCAAGAGGCUGGAGAUGGAGGGGCUAGGCUGCUUGCCUGAGUCUCUACGGAUCAGCAAGCAGAGCAAGAGUUCCCAUUCUGUACAGAGAAAUUGUCUUUUAAAAGUCAGCUAAAUGAAGAAAGACCACAACAUCUUGAUUUUAC